rnacentral:rRNA from 1 species
CGCGGAGGGUGCGAGCGUUAAUCGGAAUUACUGGGCGUAAAGCGCACGCAGGCGGUUUGUUAAGCUAGAUGUGAAAACCCCGGGCUCAACCUGGGAUGGUCAUUUAGAACUGGCAGACUAGAGUCUUGGAGAGGGGAGUGGAAUUCCAGGUGUAGCGGUGAAAUGCGUAGAUAUCUGGAGGAACAUCAGUGGCGAAGGCGACUCCCUGGCCAAAGACUGACGCUCAUGUGCGAAAGUGUGGGUAGCGAACAGG